rnacentral:ncRNA from 1 species
CUUAUCAAGAGUGGCGGAGGGACCGGCCCUGUGAAGCCCGGCAACCUGCUUAUGCAAGGUGCCAAAUCCGGCGAGUAAUCGGCAGAUGAG